UACGUAGGGUGCAAGCGUUGUCCGGAAUUAUUGGGCGUAAAGAGCUUGUAGGCGGUUUGUCGCGUCUGCUGUGAAAUUUCGGGGCUCAACCCCGAACUUGCAGUGGGUACGGGCAGACUAGAGUGUGGUAGGGGAGACUGGAAUUCCUGGUGUAGCGGUGAAAUGCGCAGAUAUCAGGAGGAACACCGAUGGCGAAGGCAGGUCUCUGGGCCACUACUGACGCUGAGAAGCGAAAGCAUGGGUAGCGAACAGG
rnacentral:rRNA from 1 species